rnacentral:rRNA from 1 species
UUAACUGAAUCCAUAGGUUAAUGAGGCGAACCGGGGGAACUGAAACAUCUAAGUACCCCGAGGAAAAGAAAUCAACCGAGAUUCCCCCAGUAGCGGCGAGCGAACGGGGAGGAGCCCAGAGCCUGAAUCAGUGUGUGUGUUAGUGGAAGCGUCUGGAAAGGCGCGCGAUACAGGGUGACAGCCCCGUACACAAAAAUGCACAUGCUGUGAGCUCGAUGAGUAG